AUUGAACGCUGGCGGCAGGCUUAACACAUGCAAGUCGAACGGUAGCAGGAGGAAGCUUGCUUUCUUGCUGACGAGUGGCGGACGGGUGAGUAAUGCUUGGGAAUCUGGCUUAUGGAGGGGGAUAACUACGGGAAACUGUAGCUAAUACCGCGUAGUAUCGGAAGAUGAAAGUGCGGGACCGUAAGGCCGCAUGCCAUGAGAUGAGCCCAAGUGGGAUUAGGUAGUUGGUGGGGUAAAGGCCUACCAAGCCUGCGAUCUCUAGCUGGUCUGAGAGGAUGGCCAGCCACACUGGAACUGAGACACGGUCCAGACUCCUACGGGAGGCAGCAGUGGGGAAUAUUGCGCAAUGGGGGAAACCCUGACGCAGCCAUGCCGCGUGAAUGAAGAAGGCCUUCGGGUUGUAAAGUUCUUUCGGUAUUGAGGAAGGUUGAUGUGUUAAUAGUACAUCAAAUUGACGUUAAAUACAGAAGAAGCACCGGCUAACUCCGUGCCAGCAGCCGCGGUAAUACGGAGGGUGCGAGCGUUAAUCGGAAUAACUGGGCGUAAAGGGCACGCAGGCGGUUAUUUAAGUGAGGUGUGAAAGCCCCGGGCUUAACCUGGGAAUUGCAUUUCAGACUGGGUAACUAGAGUACUUUAGGGAGGGGUAGAAUUCCACGUGUAGCGGUGAAAUGCGUAGAGAUGUGGAGGAAUACCGAAGGCGAAGGCAGCCCCUUGGGAAUGUACUGACGCUCAUGUGCGAAAGCGCGGAGAGCAAACAGG
rnacentral:rRNA from 1 species